GGUAUUCAAUCAAGUGCCGAUAUUAUUUAGACGCUAAUAGACGCUAAUAGACGGUAUAUUGAUUUAUAUACACAGCUAGGAAGAACCUAGACAGUGCUUUUUUCAAAUGUAUAAACAUUUCAGACGUAAAUAUUGAGAAAAUCUUUGAGAUUCUACCCAAUAUAUAAGUUGAUAUUAUGCAUUACGGGCAUUCAAUUAAGUGCCGAUAUUAUUCUGACGGUAUAUUAUUUAUACAGAGCUGGGAAAGAGCGAGACAGUGUUGUUUUCAAAUGUAUAUUAAAGUAUUUCAGGCCUGAAUAUUGAGAAAAGCUUUGAAAUCGUACGCAAUAUAUAAAUUGAUGUUUAUGCAUUACGGGCAUUAAUUUUUAUUAAGUGUCGAUAUUAUUUAUAUUGUAUAUUCAUUUAUAUAUAGCGACUGUUCACUGAAACCACAUAAGCUGCUGGCAAAUGUAAAUAUGUUAUACCACGGUUAAUAGAAUUAGAUUAUAC